UUAUAAGAGACAGCAGUAGCCGCGGUAAUACGUAGGGUGCAAGCGUUAAUCGGAAUUACUGGGCGUAAAGCGUGCGCAGGCGGUUCGGAAAGAAAGAUGUGAAAUCCCAGGGCUCAACCUUGGAACUGCAUUUUUAACUACCGGACUAGAGUAUGUCAGAGGGAGGUGGAAUUCCACGUGUAGCAGUGAAAUGCGUAGAUAUGUGGAGGAACACCGAUGGCGAAGGCAGCCUCCUGGGAUAAUACUGACGCUCAUGCACGAAAGCGUGGGGAGCAAACAGGAUUAGAGACCCCCGUAGUCCCUGUCUCUUAUAC
rnacentral:rRNA from 1 species